rnacentral:misc_RNA from 1 species
GAAGAUCCCAACAAAAAAUUUGGUUUAACAAGGUCAUCUGUUCUUGGAGCAGCCAGCAAACCAGAACGACAUAUACCCUCUCCCUUCUCUUCCUUUCUGCGCAGUUGGCGAGAGAGAGCAGGCAUCAAUGGGUUCCAUUAUUCGUGAGUGGGUCGGGUUUCAGCAGUUCCCUUCUGCCACGCAAAGCAAACUCGUGGAAUUGUUUGGCAAAUUAAAGGAAGAGGGUGCAAGCACUUUGACCAUUCUUGUUAUGGGUAAAGGUGGAGUUGGAAAAUCUUCCACUGUCAAUUCUGUCAUUGGAGAGCGAGUGGUUAAUGUGAAUUCCUUCUCGUCAGAGGUGUCGAGACCUGUAAUGGUUUCACGGACCCGGUCUGGAUUCUCAUUGAACAUCAUAGACACCCCGGGCCUUGUGGAGGGUGGCUAUGUUAGUUACCAAGCUUUGGAAUUGAUUAAACGGUUUCUUUUGAACAAGACUAUAGAUGUUCUUUUGUAUGUUGACCGCUUGGAUGCAUAUAGAGUGGAUGACUUGGAUAAGCAGAUAAUAAGUGCUAUCUCUGAUAAUUUUGGGAAAGAAAUAUGGCGUAAAAGUUUGCUUGUCCUCACCCAUGCACAGCUCUGCCCACCCGAUGAUCUCAGUUAUGAUGUUUUUUCAGCUAGAAGAUCAGAGGCAGUCUUAAAGACAAUUUGUGCAGGAUCAAGGAUGAGGAAAAGAGAUUUUGAGGAUACUGCCAUGCCAGUUGGUUUGGUUGAGAACAGUGGGAGAUGCAAUAAAAAUGAGAAUGAUGAAAAGAUUCUCCCAAAUGGUGAAGCGUGGAUACCAAGCUUGGUAAAAGAAAUAAUUGGGGUUGCUACAAAUGGGAAUAAAUCCAUUGUUGUUGACAAGAGGUUGAUAGAUGGGUCUGAGUCAAAUGACAGGGGGAAGGUGUUGAUUCCCCUCAUACUUGGAGUUCAGUGGCUUAUCGUGAAAUGGAUUCAAAGAGCAAUUAAAGAUGAUAUUGCAAAGGGGGGCAAGGCCUUGUGAGCGCUGCUCAAUUUGGUUCUGAUCAAGUAUAAGUUCUUACAUGGCUCUUGGAUAUUUUCUCUUACUUCCUCUCUCCACUACUCAAUUCUUGUUUGUCAUCUGGCAUCACCUCUUGAAAAUUCAAUCUAUGAUACCUGUGCGUCCUUGUUUUGGUUUGUUAGUAACGGAAUAUUAGAGAUAACGGAUUCUUAGUCCUUCGGUUGAGUAUAUUUUUGUUUGGGAGCUUGAUCUAAUUUUCAUUUGUUGAAAUAUUUUUCUUUUUAUUAUUCCUUCUCGGUAUUUUAUAAAUUUUUUGACUGUUGGAAG